AUAUAAACUGCUCUCUGUUCUCUCUGCCUCCUCUACAUCACAGAACCUCAACUCCUGUCAAGCUGUUACCACGGCAACUGCUCUUUGCCUCCUCAGCAUCACAGACAAACAACACAGACCGUGUCCGUAGUCGCUGCGUCACCAAACUUUAGGAACUUCAGAUCCAUUUCUCUGGACCUCUUUCUGGGUUGACCAGGACUUU